rnacentral:rRNA from 1 species
GGGUGCGAUCAUACCAGCACUAAUGCACCGGAUCCCAUCAGAACUCCGAAGUUAAACGUGCUUGGGCGAGAGUAGUACUAAGAUGGGUGACCUCUUGGGAAUUCCUCGUGUUGCAACCC